UGGGGAAUAUUGCACAAUGGGGGAAACCCUGAUGCAGCGACGCCGCGUGAGCGAAGAAGGCCUUCGGGUCGUAAAGCUCUUUUAUGAGGGAAGAUAAUGACGGUACCUCAAGAAAAAGCCCCGGCUAACUACGUGCCAGCAGCCGCGGUAAUACGUAGGGGGCUAGCGUUGUCCGGAAUCACUGGGCGUAAAGGGUUCGCAGGCGGAAUAACAAGUCAGAUGUGAAAGGCAUGGGCUCAACCCAUGUAAGCAUUUGAAACUGUAAUUCUUGAGAAGUGGAGAGGUAAGUGGAAUUCCUAGUGUAGCGGUGAAAUGCAUAGAUAUUAGGAGGAAUACCUGUGGCGAAGGCGACUUACUGGACACAAAUCUGACGCUGAGGAACGAAAGCGUGGGUAGCAAACAGG
rnacentral:rRNA from 1 species